rnacentral:rRNA from 1 species
AUUGAACGCUGGCGGCAGGCCUAACACAUGCAAGUCGAGCGAGCGGCGGACGGGUGAGUAAUGUAUGGGGACUGCCCGAUAGAGGGGGAUAACUACUGGAAACGGUAGCUAAUACCGCAUACUAUCGGAUAACCCAUAUGGGAUUAGCUAGUAGGUGAGGUAAUGGCUCACCUAGGCGACGAUCCCUAGCUGGUCUGAGAGGAUGAUCAGCCACACUGGGACGGAGACACGGCCAAGAUGCCGACGGAGGAAGAAGUGGGCAAUAGUGCACAAUGGGCGCAAGCCUGAUGAAGCCAUGCGGCGUGUAUGAAGAAGGCCCUAGGGUUGUAAAGUAGUUUCAGUCGGGAGGCGUUACCGACAGAAGAAGCCCGGGCUAACUCCGGGCCAGCGGCCGCGGAAAUAC